GCCAGGGUGGCGGAAUCCGGUAACGCGUGCGCCUGGAAAGCGCAUGGCUGCAAGGCCUUUUGGGUUCAAAUGCAAUCUCGAUUGCUGAAUAUCCCAACCCUGGCG
rnacentral:tRNA from 1 species